GAACUGAAGAGUUUGAUCCUGGCUCAGAUUGAACGCUGGCGGCAUGCCUUACACAUGCAAGUCGAACGGCAGCACGGGUGCUUGCACCUGGUGGCGAGUGGCGAACGGGUGAGUAAUACAUCGGAACAUGUCCAGUAGUGGGGGAUAGCCCGGCGAAAGCCGGAUUAAUACCGCAUACGAUCUUAGGAUGAAAGCGGGGGACCUUCGGGCCUCGCGCUAUUGGGGUGGCCGAUGGCGGAUUAGGUAGUUGGUGGGGUAAAGGCCUACCAAGCCGACGAUCCGUAGCUGGUCUGAGAGGACGACCAGCCACACUGGG
rnacentral:ncRNA from 1 species